rnacentral:tRNA from 3 species
GACACUUUGGCCGAGUGGUUAAGGCGAUUGACUCGAAAUCAAUUGGGAUUUCCCGCGCAGGUUCAAAUCCUGCAGGUGUCG